rnacentral:rRNA from 1 species
CCUACGGGUGGCUGCAGUAGGGAAUAUUGCUCAAUGGGGGAAACCCUGAAGCAGCAACGCCGCGUGAAGGAUGACGGUUUUCGGAUUGUAAACCCCUUUUGUUAGAGAAGAUAAUGACGGUAUCUAACGAAUAAGCACCGGCUAACUCCGGGCCAGCAGCCGCGGUAAUACGGAGGGUGCCAGCGUUACUCGGAAUCACUGGGCGUAAAGAGGGCGUAGGGGGGAUAGCAAGGCAGAUGUGAAAUCCUAUGGCUUAACCGUAGAACUGCAUUUGAAACUGUUAUUCUAGAGUACGGGCGAGGUAGGCGGAAUUCUUGGUGUAGGGGUAAAAUCCGUAGAGAUCAAGAAGAAUACUCAUUGCGAAGGCGACCUACUAGAACAUAACUGACGCUGAUGCGCGAAAGCGUGGGGAGCAAACAGGAUUAGAUACCCGAGUAGUC